UUUCUCUCUCCCUCUCUGUUUCUCUCUCCCGCUCUGUUUCUCUCUGUUUCUCUCUCCCUCUCUGUUUCUCUCUCCCUCUCUGUUUCUCUCUCCCGCUCUGUUUCUCUCUCUGUUUCUCUCGCUCUCUUAAAGUGAAUUACAGAAACCCUUAACAAGGUUUCAGCCCUGUCCCUCUCCGUAUCAUAACAGAUGGGGUCGACCAUUCAUUCAUAGAUUACAAAGCUGAAUUGAGCCAGAAGCUGCUGUUUUUUUUAUCCUUCUUCCCAGUUUUCUGGUUUCUAUCAAUAGUGAAGGAGGCAGUUGAGGGGAAUCUCUUAAGGGACUUCAGUACUAAGUAACCUCCUCCAUUUUGAUAUUCUUUUCCAGUCUGCCUAAUUGAUUUGAUUCUAAGAAGGGGCUGUGUUUAUACCCAGGUCUGUUGAUUUGAUUCUAAGAAGGGGCUGUGUUUAUACCCAGGUCUGUUGAUUUGAUUCUAAGAAGGGGCUGUGUUUAUACCCGGGUCUUUUAUUGAUUUGAUUCUAAGAAGGGGCUGUGUUUAUACCCAGGUCUGCUAUUGCUUUGAUUCUAAGAAGGGGCUGUGUGUUUAUACCCGGGUCUUUAAUUGAUUUGAUUCUAAGAAGGGGCUGUGUUUAUACCCAGGUCUGUUAUUGAUUUGAUUCUAAGGGGCUGUGUUUAUACCCAGGUCUGUUAUUGAUUUGAUUCUAAGAAGGGGCUGUGUUUAUACCCAGGUCUGUUAUUGAUUUGAUUCUAAGAAGGGGCUGUGUUUAUACCCAGGUCUGUUAUUGAUUUGAUUCUAAGGGGCUGUGUUUAUACCCAGGUCUUUAAUUGAUUUGAUUCUAAGAAGGGGCUGUGUUUAUACCCAGGUCUGUUAUUGAUUUGAUUCUAAGAAGGGGCUGUGUUUAUACCCAGGUCUGUUAUUGAUUUGAUUCUAAGAAGGGGCUGUGUUUAUACCCAGGUCUGUUAUUGAUUUGAUUCUAAGGGGCUGUGUUUAUACCCAGGUCUUUAAUUGAUUUGAUUCUAAGAAGGGGCUGUGUUUAUACCCAGGUCUGCUAUUGAUUUGAUUCUAAGAAGGGGCUGUGUUUAUACCCAGGUCUGCUAUUGAUUUGAUUCUAAGGGGCUGUGUGUUUAUACCCAGGUCUGUUAUUGAUUUGAUUCUAAGAAGGGGCUGUGUUUAUACCCAGGUCUUUAAUUGAUUUGAUUCUAAGGGGCUGUGUUUAUACCCAGGUCUUUAAUUGAUUUGAUUCUAAGAAGGGGCUGUGUUUAUACCCAGGUCUGUUAUUGAUUUGAUUCUAAGGGGCUGUGUGUUUAUACCCAGGUCUGUUAUUGAUUUGAUUCUAAGGGACUGUGUGUUUAUACCCAGGUCUGUUAUUGAUUUGAUUCUAAGGGGCUGUGUGUUUAUACCCAGGUCUGUUAUUGAUUUGAUUCUAAGGGGCUGUGUGUUUAUACCCAGGUCUGUUAUUGAUUUGAUUCUAAGGGACUGUGUGUUUAUACCCAGGUCUUUAAUUUGACCGCAUUAGGACAGGGAACAGAAAGGAAGUGAUGGUGGAGUCCCCCCCCCCUCCCCUCUAAUGUCUCCACGUCUCUCUGAAGUCUGUUUAACUUCUGCCCCCCCCCUCUAAUGUCUCCACGUCUCUCUGAAGUCUGUUCUUCUGAAGAUGAUAUUCUGGACAGAAUAUCCCAUCAAAAUGGAUCCCUCAUUUUACAUGCUGUCCUGGUUUUACUGUCUGUUUUCUCCAGAUUUCCUUUUAAAUUUAUUUGUCUUCAUUCUUUUACAGCGUGUUGUUAUUCUGUCUCCUUUUUGUAGUUCUUCUUGUGUUUUAUUCAAGCCAACUGUUUGAGGUUUCUCUCUUUUUUCCCCCGUAAAGACAUUAAACAUUUACCAGAUGUAGAUGGAAAACAUGACCAUGGUGGUAUUUAUCAUUCUGUGGAAUUCAGCUGCCGGUGCAUUGAAGCAACAAAAAAAAACAGUUUUGAAAUAAAAUAUAAUAAAAAUAGAAAA